rnacentral:misc_RNA from 1 species
AAGUCACUUUGCCGGUCUGCAAUCGAUAUGAUUCUGCGGUAUUCUGGCGAAGCGAACGUAUCCUCUUCUUAGUUAUUUAAAUCGUAAAAAGUGAUACAACAAAUUCUCAAUAAUAGUCUAGCAACAGGCGAAUGGAUGCAGGGUGUUACUCGAUGAGAUCAUCGUCGCAAACGUGAAGCGUAUCUGAAAUGAGUCAAGGACAUAAACACUCGUGUUGUCGGACCGCAUGUUUGCACGCAUUAAUUAUAAGACUAGCGAGAUGGCAGCGAGUCAGUAUUAUCAUGUACAGUGCACACCCACCGUGUAUCCAGCCGAUCCUUUCGAUCCCGAGGCAGAUGCCAGUCUCUUACGAUCCGCGAUGAAGGGUUUUGGGACCGACGAGCAGGCCAUCAUCGAUGUCUUGGCUCAUCGGGGCAUCGUGCAACGAUUGGAAAUCGCUGACAAAUUCAAAACGAUGUACGGCAAAGAUCUCAUCAAAGAACUUAAGUCAGAGUUGUCUGGUAACUUCGAGAAGGUCAUUCUAGCCUUGAUGACACCUCUUCCCGAAUAUUAUGCCAAGGAAUUGCACGACGCUAUUUCCGGCGUGGGCACCGACGAGGGUGCGCUCAUCGAAGUUCUCGCAUCCCUGAGCAACUACGGUAUCAAGACAAUAUCGGCUGUUUACAAGGAUCUGUAUGGCACAGAAUUGGAAAAUGAUCUUAAAAGCGAUACUUCUGGUUAUUUCAAGAGGCUUUUGGUGUCAUUAUCUUGCGCCAGUAGAAACGAAAGUGCUGAUGUCGACGAGGAGGCUGCACGUCAGGAUGCCGAGAGACUUCAUGCUGCGGGUGAGGGACAGUGGGGUACUGACGAGAGUACUUUCAACGCAAUCCUUGUUACUAAGAGUUAUCCACAAUUGCGAAGGAUCUUUAAGGAGUACGAGAGUAUCGCUGGACACACAUUGAAGGAUGCUAUCAAGCGAGAAUUCUCUGGUUCUGUUGAAGAUGGCUACUUAGCUGUUGUGAAAUGUGCCUCCGACAAGACUGCUUAUUUCGCGGAAAGACUAUACAAAGCUAUGCGCGGGAUGGGAACGGAUGACUCGACAUUGGUACGCAUCAUUGUGGCGCGAUCAGAAAUUGAUCUGGGUGACAUUAAGGAUACCUAUGAGAGACUUUACGGGAAAUCUCUUGCGGCAGCUAUUGACAACGACUGCAGCGACGACUUUAAGCGGCUUCUGAUCGCGCUAUUGAAUUAAUGAGCUCGGGGAGAUGUUAUUAUUGUUACUAAGAACCCAAUUAGACAUUUAACUUAACACGAAUAUUAAUAAUAAAAAAGCAUGUAAAUGAUGAUUGCGCCGCCGAAUGGAAAAGAUUACUGAUAGCAAUGUUGAAUUAAGAGUAGCUAUAAUUUGUGCGAUAAUUAUAAAAAAUAAUAUUUAAAACUUUGGAGCGUACGUGAACGUAAAAACCAUUUAUGAUACAUAAUCAUUUAAUUAAUAAUACAUAGACCUGUAGGAUUACAGAAAAAAAA